UCCGAGUUGACCCCGGCAGUCUCCUGCGAGUCCCCGCCAUUACGCGCUGGCAACACAGGACAAGGGUUGCGCUCGUUGCGGGACUUAACCCAACAUCUCACGACACGAGCUGACGACAGCCAUGCACCACCUGUAUACCGACCACAAGGGGGGCCGUAUCUCUACGGCUUUUCCGUACAUGUCAAGCCCAGGUAAGGUUCUUCGCGUUGCAUCGAAUUAAAGAACAUGCUCCGCUGCUUGUGCGGGCCCCCGUCAAUUCUUUUGAGUUUCAGCCUUGCGGCCGUACUCCCCAGGCGGAGUGCUUAAUGCGUUAGCUGCAGCACUAAGGGGCGGAAACCCCCUAACACUUAGCACUCAUCGUUUACGGCAUGGACUAC
rnacentral:misc_RNA from 1 species